AUGGACGGCGAUGAGCUGUGCCGAAGCGCCCGCGGGGCACGAUCGACCAGGCGUCGCUGUUCCGAUGGCGAGGUAGCGCCGCGGUGGCGCCACCCGCGCCAGCCGCGGCCCGGUCGACCUCGGACGCGUCGAUCGUCCCAUCGGCGUCGCCUCUCCAGCAAAGGGAGAUUCCUCUCCUUUUCCUGCGCCGCGUGCCAUCCCGUCGACCGCAUCUCGCCCGAUCACCGGUCGCGCGCAAGACGAGACGUCCCAGUCGCCGGCGCACUUCGGCGUCCACUAGGCUUACCCCGGCCGAUCCCCGUUGCUGUUCGAUGUGCAUGUCCCGGGUCACCUUUGGAAGGAGAGAGCUUUUGUUUACUUGGCUUGGGCGAUGCGCGCGAAAAAAAAAACGAGAUUGGUUGGUAA
rnacentral:rRNA from 1 species